GACGAACGCUGGCGGCGUGCUUAACACAUGCAAGUCGAACGGAAAGGCCUUUUCGGAGGCACUCGAGUGGCGAACGGGUGAGUAACACAUGGGUGAUCUGCCCUGCACUCUGGGAUAAGCCUGGGAAACUGGGUCUAAUACCGGAUAGGACCGCACUUUAGUGUGUGUGGUGGAAAGUUUUUUCGGUGUAGGAUGAGCCCGCGGCCUAUCAGCUUGUUGGUGGGGUAAUGGCCUACCAAGGCGGCGACGGGUAGCCGGACUGAGAGGUUGGUCGGCCACAUUGGGACUGAGAUACGGCCCAGACUCCUACGGGAGGCAGCAGUGGGGAAUAUUGCACAAUGGGCGCAAGCCUGAUGCAGCGACGCCGCGUGGGGGAUGACGGCCUUCGGGUUGUAAACUCCUUUCGCCAGGGACGAAGCGUUUUGUGACGGUACCUGGAGAAGAAGCACCGGCUAACUACGUG
rnacentral:rRNA from 1 species